rnacentral:rRNA from 1 species
GACGAACGCUGGCGGCGUGCUUAACACAUGCAAGUCGAACGGAAAGGCCCUGCUCUUGUGGGGUGCUCGAGUGGCGAACGGGUGAGUAACACGUGAGUAACCUGCCCUUGACUUUGGGAUAACUUCAGGAAAAUGGGGCUAAUACCGGAUAGGAGCUCCUGCUGCAUGGUGGGGGAUGGAAAGAUUCGGCGGUUGGGGAUGGACUGGCGGCUUAUCAGCUUGAUGGUGGGGUAGUGGCUUACCAAGGCUUUGACGGGUAGCCGGCCUGAGAGGGUGACCGGCCACAUUGGGACUGCGAUACGGCCCAGACUCCUACGGGACGCAGCAGUGGGGAAUAUUGCACAAUGGGCGGAAGCCUGAUGCAGCAACGCCGCGUGCGGGAUGACGGCCUUCGGGUUGUAAACCGCUUUCGCCUGUGACGAAGCGUGAGUGACGGUAAUGGGUAAAGAAGCACCGGCUAACUACGUG